CCUGCCUCAGCCUCUCAAGUAGCUAGGACUACAGAUUCUUACUGUAUGGCAGGGCUGGGUGUGCUCAGGAAAGGCCCCAUGUCUAUGUCACCAUCAAUCAGCAUUUAAACUGUGGAUAAAUGCCCUAGAAGCACAGAGGAUCAAGUGACAAGCUUGGGAAGCAGAGGAGGCUUCACAGAGAAGAGCUUCUCACUAAAAGCAUGAGCUGGUUUUUCUUCCUUAACAUUAGCCAACUUCAUAGCUUUCUUCAUCUACCAAGUGAGCAACUUUCAGAGAAAAUACUUCUGUUUAGAGGAUGAUGGCAUUUUUAGACAGGAGUCUCCAUCCUCCUCAUUUGCCAGCAAAUUAAUA